rnacentral:rRNA from 1 species
GCCUAAUACAUGCAAGUCGAACGCACUGAUUUCUACAGAAGGUGCUUGCACUGGAAGUUGAUUGACGUGAGUGGCGGACGGGUGAGUAACACGUGGGUAACCUGCCCUUAAUCGGGCGGAUAACAUUUGGAAACAGAUGCAAAUACCGCAUAAAAGUUAAGAUCACAUGGACUUAAUUUGAAAGACGGCCUUUGGCUGUCACUUAAGGAUGGACCCGCGGCGUAUUAGCUAGUUGGUGAGAUAAUAGCCCACCAAGGCGAUGAUACGUACCCGACCUCGAGAGGGUAAUCAGCCACAUUGGGACUGACACACGGCCCAAACUCCUACGGGAGGCAGCAGUAGGGAAUCUUCCACAAUGGACGAAAGUCUGAUGGAGCAACGCCGCGUGAGUGAAGAAGGUUUUCGGAUCGUAAAACUCUGUUGUUGGAGAAGAACAGGGACUAGAGUAACUGUUAGUCCUUUGACGGUAUCCAACCAGAAAGCCACGGCUAACUACGUGCCAGCAGCCGCGGUAAUACGUAGGUGGCAAGCGUUGUCCGGAUUUAUUGGGCGUAAAGCGAGCGCAGGCGGUUUCUUAAGUCUGAUGUGAAAGCCUUCGGCUUAACCGAAGAAGUGCAUCAGAUACUGGGAAACUUGAGUGCAGAAGAGGAAAGUGGAACUCCAUGUGUAGCGGUGAAAUGCGUAGAUAUAUGGAAGAACACCAGUGGCGAAGGCGGCUUUCUGGUCUGUAACUGACGCUGAGGCUCGAAAGUAUGGGGAGCGAACAGGAUUAGAUACCCUGGUAGUCCAUACCGUAAACGAUGAAUGCUAAGUGUUGGAGGGUUUCCGCCCUUCAGUGCUGCAGCUAACGCAUUAAGCAUUCCGCCUGGGGAGUACGACCGCAAGGUUGAAACUCAAAGGAAUUGACGGGGGCCCGCACAAGCGGUGGAGCAUGUGGUUUAAUUCGAAGCUACGCGAAGAACCUUACCAGGUCUUGACAUCUAGCGCCAAUCCUAGAGAUAGGACGUUCCCUUCGGGGACGCUAAGACAGGUGGUGCAUGGUUGUCGUCAGCUCGUGUCGUGAGAUGUUGGGUUAAGUCCCGCAACGAGCGCAACCCUUAUGAUUAGUUGCCAGCAUUUAGUUGGGCACUCUAAUCAGACUGCCGGUGACAAACCGGAGGAAGGUGGGGA